UACGGAGGAUCCGAGCGUUAUCCGGAUUUAUUGGGUUUAAAGGGUGCGCAGGCGGGAGAUUAAGUCGGCGGUGAAAUUUUGCAGCUCAACUGUAAAAGUGCCUUCGAUACUGGUUUCCUUGAGUGUGGAUGAAGUAGGCGGAAUUUGUGGUGUAGCGGUGAAAUGCUUAGAUAUCACGAGGAACUCCGAUUGCGCAGGCAGCUUACUAAACCACUACUGACGCUCAGGCACGAAGGCGUGGGGAUCAAACAGGAUUAGAUACCCGGGUAGU
rnacentral:rRNA from 1 species